UCAUCAUGGCCCUUACGGCAGGGCUACACACGUGCUACAAUGGUCGGUACAAAGGGUUGCUACACAGCGAUGUGAUGCUAAUCUCAAAAAGCCGAUCGUAGUCCGGAUUGGAGUCUGCAACUCGACUCCAUGAAGUCGGAAUCGCUAGUAAUCGCGGAUCAGAAUGCCGCGGUGAAUACGUUCCCGGGCCUUGUACACACCGCCCGUCACACCAUGGGAGUUUGUUGCACCAGAAGUAGGUAGUCUAACCGCAAGGAGGACGCUUACCACGGUGUGGCCGAUGACUGGGGUGAAGUCGUAACAAGGUAGCCGUAGGGAA
rnacentral:rRNA from 1 species